AAGUUCACUGCACAGUCAGAUGCAUCACAGAGUCAGUAAUAAAACUGAAGUACUGAUCUAUGUACAGUCAGUCAAUCACAAGGAGAUAUCCGAAGCUGUCUUUUUAUCCUUAAAAACCAGCCAUAUCAAGUUAUAUUCUGUAAGUGGCAAAACCCAGUGAGUCACAAUGAUUGUCAUUACAUGGCUGAUCUUCCUUCUGGUUUCAGAGCUGAUACAGAAAAUUCCAAAAACUAAGGCUGAACCAGCAAAGAAGGAAGGUGACAAACAUUAAUUCAUCUUGUGUAUUGGAAAUACAGUCCAGCUCACAAUUUCCAUUUAUAUGAAGAACACAGAAGAUUUUUCAGGAGAAAACUUGAAUAUUCUACUUGACUAAUGACACCAUCCAGCAGCUGCUUUCAAGAGGAAGAAAUAAGAUGAAGAGGAAAGUAUUUCUCUAAACAAGAAUGCAAAUGUUCGAUAGUGUGUCAUGUGAAAUAAUAAUACUACUAUAAUACUCUGUAUUUAGAAUGUGACACUAGUAUUCAUGGUGCUGUAUGAAAUGUCAAAUUGUUAUUAAAAGAGCAAAAUUAUGAAGA